CGCGACCCCGGAGCCCCGCCCACGACCGUGGACCCCGAGUGGGCGCGGGGAGGGUUUGCUCGCGGCUGCUCCAAGGCGAAGGCUUCCGAACCGUUGCGUUUUUCAGCUCUCUGAAUCUGAGGGUUGAGGCCACAGACACAGAGGAUCACUAUAUUUUUGGCCACAUCAAGAGCAAGGAGAGUGGGCUUCACAUAAGGGUGAACACAAUCAGACAUUUGUGAGAACUAUUGUCUCAGGUGUUGGCUUGGCUCCUCCUUUUACGGGCCUGCCAUAAAUUAUCUAUGUCUGAUCUAUAGCAUAAGCUGGAAUGUAUUUUGGUACCUCGAAGAUGGGGAUCCAGAUUAAAAAGAUAGAAAUCAAGGUAAGAUUCUUCUGGGGCUACUUCAGAUGAGGCUUUGAUGGCAUUCAUGGAUGUCUACUCUCCCAAGAUACUGCUUACCGCUUCUUCCACUGCUUCUGCCUGCCCAGGAAAGGAUAUGACUUGAAACCAGGAAACAGAGGCAGGGAGUCUGGAAAGUUCCUGUACAUCAAGUUUGUCCUGAGAAAAAGGGCAUAGGCCUUGGAGUCAAAACAGCCUUGGAACUCUAAUUCCACUUCUUACCACCUACGAGACCUUCAGAAUAUACUUACAUCUUGGAGUCUUUGCUUCCUCAUCGCUAAAUCAUAUUCAUUCAAUCAAUCAUUUUUGUUGUUGUCGUUAAUGCGCUGUGUGCUAGGUGCUGCAAAUACUAACAACGAACAAUAUAAACCAGUUCUUGCCUUCAGAGGACUUACCUCCAUUCCCAUCUCAAAUAAAUGCUGAAUAAAUGAACCUCAUUGAUAAUUCAAUACACUAAGUGUUAUUAUAAGAUAAAUCACCCAUUGGAAUAGCUUUGUUCUUAAUUCAGUGGUUGUCAGGACCAAAAACUUUUUUUCAUUGCCCAACAACUGUCCUUAGAGGCUAAGUACCACUUUUAGUGGUUUUCAAAGAAGUAAUUGUUUAUGUUUGCAUUCAACAGUCCAAACUAGAGAGAACUGUUUAAGUAAGGGGAUGACUAGAAUAUAUGGUAAACCAGAAAAGAUGUCUAGAAAAUUCUAGAAAAAAAUUAAGUAUACAAUCAUGUCAUUUUUUAUACAUGUGUUAGACCAUGAGGUCAGCACUUCAUGUUCAAUGAAAGACAUACAGACUACAAAUGAAAUGAUAAUAUUCCUAUCAAAAAAAAUCAAGAUUCCAAAAUAGGAUUUAUGUUAUGAGUCGAGGCCCUCAAUUAUUUUUAUCAUUACAUAUCUUCAAAAUUAUAAAUGAGAUCAAUGAGGGAAUGUUUGCUUGCUAUAUGCAUUGAGCUGGGUGCUUUACUGUUAUAUAUCAAUAAAUGUUGACCAAAUAAAGGAAUUAAUAGACAGUAA